rnacentral:rRNA from 1 species
CAGCCGCCACGGGAAAACGUAGGGUGCAAGCGUUGUCCGGAAUUAUUGGGCGUAAAGAGCUCGUAGGCGGUUUGUCGCGUCUGCUGUGAAAUCCCGAGGCUCAACCUCGGGCUUGCAGUGGGUACGGGCAGACUAGAGUGCGGUAGGGGAGAUUGGAAUUCCUGGUGUAGCGGUGGAAUGCGCAGAUAUCAGGAGGAACACCGAUGGCGAAGGCAGAUCUCUGGGCCGUAACUGACGCUGAGGAGCGAAAGCGUGGGGAGCGAACAGGAUUAGAUACCCCUGUAGUCCCUGUCUCUUAUAC